rnacentral:lncRNA from 1 species
GCCAAUUUUGGCCCACUAAUACCAAGCCCAUUUCCCCCUCUUACAACCCAAACCCGAUUGAUCCAUUUCAAUACACUAAAACCCCUGCCCAAACCUUAGCCCAACUACCCAAAACCCAACACUUGACCCAGGCCCAGAAGCCCAAACUCCAGACUUAGGGUUUCAGAAACCUUAGCCUACUCAGCCGCAACCCUCCCCACUUGUACUUAGCCCCAUACACUGCUCCACUAUAGCAGCCCCAUACCCCCACGCGUCUGACACCAUCUGCCGCUGCAUGCUCCUCCUCCACCACCAGCUCCUCCAUACCCUGCAAAGACAG